AUUUGCCGUUAGAUUAACAAAAAUUUUAUCCGUUAGUGCGUUUGAACAACAAAUAAAAAAUUUCGAAACCGAUAGCUGCACAGAUCGUCGAUGAAAUUGCCCGAUCAAUUCGAUUGUGAUUUUCCACCCCGUAGCGGCAGACCAGAUGGCGACAGGAAGGGUUUUCGAAGAAUUGACGCUGCAGCAAUAUCUUAUUCUAAUCGCAAUCCGAACUCGAACUAGAAAUUUCCGCAGUAUUUUUUAAGAAGAUUUUCAUCAACCAAAAUAGAAUUUUCCUAGACCUUGUGAAAACAAAUUUACCGAAAGGCCGAUGCCAGAAGGAUGCGAAGAUAUUCGUAGAAAUGUUUUCAUUGGGUCUCGUGUAUUUCGCGACUAUUAUUAGCUGGAAAACAUUUCUCUAAGCGUAUCGAGACUCGAACAAGAUUACGGAUGUAUUUUCUCUUUUGGUCGUACGUUUUCGGGAAUACGUCAGAAAUCGCUUUACGCGACUUGUAACGUUUGCAACAAUUUAAUACCUACCUCUCGCUGGACAGGACGAAGGAUGCCUAAAAGAUGCGAACUCUUCGCUCUUUGAAACUAAUUAAAAGAAGACUCCUCGGAGUGAUGCAACGUAACGUUAAAGUUACAUUAUUUUGCUGCGGUGUGGGGCGGAAAAUAAUUUCCUCCUAAGCAUCCGACUAAAUUAUCGUGACUCAUUUCAAGAUGAUACGCCGAACGAGGCUCGUGAGUCAGCCGAUUGAUUAGAACAUGUCCAAAGUUCUCGCGAAAACAAAUUUUCAGAAAAAAAAAAACUGGGAUCGGCUAAUCUGCAAAGAGAGUUCAAAGCGUCAGAAGUAUUUUUGGACGAAAUAUAUUAGCGGUCCGUUAAUCGGAACGAGAGUAAAUAAAUAAACAACCGAUGAAUCGAACGAUAAGAGUCUCUUCGUAUAAUUAUUGUUAUUGAAUUGAUGUCAAGGCUAAUCAAUAAUUGGCAACACAAAGCAAAAUAUAUUUACAAACAGGUACCUGCGCACUGCUUGUCGUUCAGAUAUCUUAUCAGACGUUAUCUCAUUUUCCAAAUGAUAAAUUCACCCGGUGAAAAUCAUGAUCUGAUCAUAAUUUUUCCAUUUUGCGAAUUGAAACGGGGAAUAUCGAAUGCUGAGGAAUCGUUUAAAAUGGGCUCAGUUUUAUUGGAGUGCUUUUCAUCUUACAGCGAAGCAGGAUGAUGCACCGACAAUUCAGAGGGACAUGAGUAUUACAAUUUUUCAUCGACAAAUUGAUUCGAAGAAUUCCAGAUAGUAGAAUAGGAUGUUCGUUAUGGCGUAAAAAUACGUCACACGCAGACAAGGGGGUUACAAUAUGCACAUGAAUGAUU